rnacentral:rRNA from 1 species
UACGUAGGGUGCGAGCGUUAUUCGGAAUUACUGGGCGUAAAGCGUGCGCAGGCGGCCGCGCAAGUCGAGUGUGAAAGCCCCGGGCUUAACUUGGGAAUUGCGCUCGAAACUACGUGGCUGGAGUGUGGCAGAGGAAGGUGGAAUUCCACGUGUAGCGGUGAAAUGCGUAGAGAUGUGGAGGAACACCAAUGGCGAAGGCAGCCUUCUGGGCCAACACUGACGCUCAUGCACGAAAGCGUGGGGAGCAAACAGG